AAAUUAGCUUUUUAUAAAAAUGCUCGUAACUGCAUAAAUAUUUUAACUGCAUUAACAAAAUUUUAUGCAGUCAUUGCAAAUAACAACUAAAGUAAUCUAUACAAGCUUACAGCUUGAUUUUCUGGCAUAGAGUGUUCAAAAACACUUGUUUUCUUUCGUAAUUUACUGUCGGUCCCUGAAAGUUUUAAACUUUAUUGCUAAGUAUAAAAAAAUUGCAUUAACCUCUAAAGUUACAACAUAAUCUUCUAAGUAUUUAAAAAAUUGUGAGAAUGGCAGAUAUGUAAAGGGUUAAUUUUUUUUAGCAUAUAGAAUUACUUAACUUUUCGCUAUCUCACCUCCUCUAUUCUAGUUGCAACUCUAUUGAUCCUGCAGUUAUUUGUUCUAUGUAGAUGCACUGAUGAUGAUAGUCAGUAGAGAAAUUUAAAUCAAUUAUUAAGUGACCUCCAGCUAUGGUGUUUCUAAGAAAUGAAAAGCUGUUUUUUAAUGCAGCACACAUAAACAAUGUACAUGAAAACUUGAUUGCAAUAUCUUAUUAUUUAAACUGCUAAAUUGAAAUGUUAUGAUAGUAUGAAUAAAAUGAUUUUCCAAAGUA